UACGUAGGGUGCGAGCGUUUAAUCGGAAUUACUGGGCGUAAAGCGUGCGCAGGCGGUCUCGUAAGCUGGGUGUGAAAGCCCCGGGCUUAACCUGGGAACGGCAUUCAGGACUGCGAGGCUCGAGUGUGGCAGAGGGAGGUGGAAUUCCACGUGUAGCAGUGAAAUGCGUAGAGAUGUGGAGGAACACCGAUGGCGAAGGCAGCCUCCUGGGCCAGCACUGACGCUCAUGCACGAAAGCGUGGGGAGCAAACAGG
rnacentral:rRNA from 1 species